UUAUUUCAACAGGGGUGCUGUAAAAGGCUGAGAAAUACUCUAUAAGUUGAUCUAGAUAAUGCUAGCGUAACGAGUUGUUUUUUAUUUUCA
rnacentral:ncRNA from 2 species